rnacentral:rRNA from 1 species
AUACGGAGGGUGCAGCGUUAUCCGGAAUCAUUGGGUUUAAAGGGUCCGCAGGCGGAUUAAUAAGUCAGUGGUGAAAUCCUCUCGCUCAACGAGAGAACUGUCAUUGAAACUGUUAGUCUUGAAUUCGGUCGAAGUAGGCGGAAUGUGUCAUGUAGCGGUGAAAUGCAUAGAUAUGACACAGAACACCGAUAGCGAAGGCAGCUUACUAGACCUGGAUUGACGCUCAUGGACGAAAGCGUGGGGAGCGAACAGGAUUAGAAACCCUAGUAGUCC